CAUGUUAUAGGUGCUAUAAUGACACCAUUUCGUAGGAUGUUUUAAUGUAUUUUUUCAGCUUGCACUAAAAGUUCAGAAAUCUGUUUACAUUACAGGGUGGCAAAGUCUAAGCCUGAUGCGUGGCCUGCAGUGACAUCAAAAGCAGCAGUCCUGGCCCUUCCCUUCAAGCAGCAAAAUAGGAGGUGUGUCAACACCUCAGUUUCUCCAGUUUACUGUUAGGAAAUCCACUGCAUCAAAGAGCUUAAGCUAAUGUGCUGAAGAUGAACUGAAGUGAGUAGAAAAAGGUAACUUGGAUUCCUUUACAACAGCUUCAGAAACAAGAGACUACAGAGAGGCUAUACCCAAGAUAGCUGAUAAACUGCAAGGUAAGACUGUUCCUAAAGAAGUGCAAAAGAAUUUUUACCAGAAAGUUGUUAUGUGGCUCUUACUGAAUUGUGUAGAAGGUCCUGGUCCACAGGUUGCGUAAUG
rnacentral:lncRNA from 1 species